CCCUCUCUUUCUUUUGUCUUUUUUGAUCUGAUCUUCAUACUGACCAGAUGUGUUUAUCUUAAGACCCAGAAGAAAUCUAUAGACUAUUCCAUACCUGAAGAAUAUAACAGGAUCAUGCAGAUGAAGAUCAAUUAGGCUUUGUGUCACACAUAGAAGAGCAGUUAUCGUAAAAGGGUUAUUUUUCCUCUGUACCUGAUACUCUGCAGGAGUGAAUCUGAUUGGCUAAGGCAGUCUCAUGGUGACAAUUAGUAUUCCACUUGUACACAAACAACUCUGUAUGUGAGGACCCAGCAUCUAGCACGACACCAUACUGAAAGACAAAGGGAGAUCACUGUCCAUUGAGAUUUGGUCUCUAAUCUUACCCGUGUCAUACAGCAUCAAUGUAGCUCCACUCAUCACGUACGCUUCUCUCAGCGAGGCUGACCAUCGCAACUCUUGGUUGCUGGAAUUCUUCAACACCAGCGACGACCGC